rnacentral:lncRNA from 1 species
CUCAAUCUUACCCGCCUCUUUUUAUCCUCAAAUAAUCUUAGUGGUGUCAUAGAGUUUCGCAUGUUCUCAAACCUUCCAAAUCUCGACCUUCUUGACCUUUCAUAUAACAGCCUAUCCUUAACAUCUAAUACUACUUCUACUGUUAAUCAUAUAUUGCCUAAUCUUACAAUGUUAUUUUUGUCAUCUUGCAAUCUUAGUGAAUUCCCCCAAUUUUUGAAAGGGCUUAAAAGGUUGGAAAUGUUAGACCUCUCUUGCAACAAACUUCAAGGCAAGAUUCCACAGUGGAUGCAAGAGGUGGGGAAUGUCUCUUUGACUUUCUUAAACGUAUCUCACAACUCUUUGACAGAAGUUGAGCACUUUCCGUGGAAUAAUAUUGCAGUUCUGGACUUAAGCUCCAAUUUGAUCCGUGGAAAUCUUCCGAUUCCAGCUUCGAAGAUCAAUGUCUUUCUGAUCUCAAAUAAUAGUUUCAAUGGAGAGGUCUCUUCUUUAAUCUGCAAUGCCAGUGAUCUUGAAAUUCUUGAUUUGUCCCACAAUAACUUGAGUGGAACAAUUCCGCAAUGUUUUGGAAAUUUGAGCAACAGCCUUGAAUUCUUGAAUCUGAAGAAGAACAAGUUCUAUGGGACGAUUCCUCCAACAUUUGCAGAGGGAUGCCAAUUGAGUAAUUUCAACUUAAAUGGAAAUCUGUUAGAAGGGCCUUUGACACCAUCCAUCCUUAAUUGUAAUGAUCUGGAAGUGCUAGAUCUUGGUAACAACAAGAUCAAUGAUACAUUUCCUCAUUGGUUGGGAAGUCUUCCACAGCUACAAGUUCUUGUAUUGAAGUCAAAUCAUAUGCAUGGUUCCUUGCGUGUCAAUAGCUCCAAGUCUAGCCCUUUUUUCUCUAAAAUCCAAAUUUUUGAUCUCUCAAGUAAUUAUUUUUCUGGACCCCUACCAGUGAGAUACAUCAACAGCUUCAAGGCUAUCAUAAAUCUAGAGAAGAUUGGUAGUACAGUGUCGUACAUGGGGGUGAAUGAUGGCUUCUAUACCUAUUCCAUUGGAAUUGUUAUAAAAGGACAAUAUAUGGAAUUGGUGAAAAUUUUCACCGUGUGGAUGAUCAUUGAUCUAUCAAACAAUCAGUUUGAAGGGGGUAUUCCAGAGGUUUUUGGGAAGCUUAACUUACUGAAAGGGCUCAACCUUUCUCAUAAUAACCUUAAUGGUGGUAUCCCUACCUCAAUAGGGAAUUUGACAAGUCUUGAAUGGUUGGACCUAUCUUCAAACAGGUUGUCUGGGACGAUUCCAAAUAGAUUGGCAGAUCUGCCAUUUCUUUCGUCCUUCAAUGUUUCUGAAAAUCAACUCCAUGGUCAGAUUCCUCAAGGCAAACAGUUCAACACAUUUGGAAAUGAUUCAUAUGAAGGAAACAAAGGAUUAUGUGGAUUUACGGUCUCGAAAGGUUGAAACAUCAUUGAGCCAGCACCUCCAAAUGUGCUUGAAAAAGAUGGCUCAAAAUCAAACAUUACUUUUGGUUGGAAAGUGGUGUUGAUAGGUUAUGGAUGCGGAGUGGUGUUCGGAAUGUCCGUGGGAUAUGUUGUUUUCCAAACUGGUAAGCCGAAAUGGUUGGUGAAUUUGGUUGAAAUCCAACAUGAGAAGAAGCGAAGAAGAAAGUCAAAGGAUGGCAGUCGCAGAAAUGGACGAAGAAGGAUCUAGUUAGUGGAAAUGAUGUUCAAGUGUUGAUGUUGUAUCUUCAUAAUUUCUUGUUUUGAAGUCUUUCAAUUUUUUUCCUAUGGUGAAAGGUUGCAUUGGCAUGCAUCUGUCUUUGUUAUUGUGACAAUUCAUCUAUAUUUCAUUGCAUUACGUGGUAUUUGUAAGGGUUUGUUUUAAAUGUAACAUUUUGUAUGGUUCAACUAUUUAUGUCUUCUUUCAUGACUUUUAUUUUUGAGUCUCAAUAAUCUCUGCAUUCAAGAUUUUGUCAGCUUAUUAAUUGGUGGAUCAAUAAUCUUCAUGCUCAUCUCAUCAUCUUUUUCUCGAGUUAAACACAGCCAAUACUAUAACAAUUUCUUCUGUGUGGAAAAUAAUUUGGCAUUCUGCAAAUUUCCACAAUGCUUGUGGAUUGCCUUUGGUUGACAGCUAUACAUAUAAAGGAAGGAAACAAGACCAUGUCAAAAUUUCCAAAAAUUAGUCAUUCAUUUUUUAAAAUUGUAAAUUCUCAAGUAAUGUAAAUUAGUCCUAAAACUCAAGUUUUGAAAUCUUUACAAUUUAACCCCUUACUAUUUUAUGCUCAACUUUCUAAAUCUUCAUAUUUCAUGAUCAUAUAAUUUAGUUACUACAUCAAUAUUUGAGAUUUCACUACUCAAACCCUUACUUCAUUUUGGUCCUUACUUCAAUUUUAUCAAAUUAAAUCAUUUUUCAAUUUGAAUGCAUUGAUGUGAAAUUGAGGGAGCACUAAACAAUGUUGAUGCGAGUUUAGGCAAAAUUGGUGGAUCCCAUCUCCUUAGUAAUUUCUUUAUGGAAGUAGCUGCUUUCACACUGCAAACUUGGAUAAUUUGUGGUGGACGAUGAUGAAUGAUUUGACAAUCAAACACAUAAUUUUUAAACACAAAAUUAACGAUAUAUUGAAAUCAUUAUUGAAAUUAUAAUCAAAAUUAAUACAUGUUUUUUUUAUUUGCUUAAGGUGUAAAAACCCUUCAAAAUUUUCAAAAAUAAAAAUAAAAAUUUAAGUCCCUCUUUUUUUUUUUAACACUCAAUUGAGCACUUAAACUUUUAAAAUGUGUCAAAAAUAUCUUUACACUUCUUCAAAAAAAGCGAUUAAACUCUUUUUUUUUUCGCUCAAUUGGGUGCUUGAACUUUCAUAAUGCAUCAAAAAGACCUUUUUUUUUCAAAGAAACAAUUAAGCCUCUAUUUUUUUCCCACUCAAUUGGGUACUUGAACUUUCAUAAUGCAUCAAAAAGCAAUUAAGGCCUUUUUCAUGCAUUAUGAAAGUUCAAGUACCGAAUUGAGUGCAAGAAAAAAAAAGUAGGGGCUUAAUUGCUUUUUUUGAAAAUGUUUGAGGGCCUUUUUGAUGUAUUUUGAAAGUUCAAGUACCCAAAUGAGUGCAUAAAAAGAACAGGGGUUCAAUUGCCAUUUUUGAAAAAGUUUGAGGGCUUUUUGCACCCUUAAACCUCUUUUCUUUUUCUAAAUUUAAUUUAGAACCAACUUUGAGUAAAGACUUGGGAAAUUUAAUUACCAAAAUUUCUUUCCAUGCAAAAAUUUCCCCUAUUUCUUGUUUGAAUUUAAAGCAAUACAAUAUUUUUCUAGCUAGUAAUAGAAAAUGACAGUCAAUUCAUUCCAAGCAAUGCAAAAUUUCCAGUCUGGUGGAAAAUUUGUUUCUUAGAUACUAUUAUUCAACUUUUAAGGCAUAAGUUUGAAUAUAGGGACUACAUUUUUAAAGUGUUGUUUACUACACACUUAGGGACCAUAUAUGUGUAUAUAUAUAUAUAUAUAUUCCAGUCUGGGUCUUUGUCGUGUUUUGUUGGUUGGCUAUGGCCUUGUUGCUGUUUCCACUGUCUGUGGUCUUUGUUUCUAAGUCAUAUGUGGCCUUGUUUGCUACAACUUAGUUGCUAAGUUAAAGGGAGUUAAUAGAGCACCAUUUUCUUCUUUUGCGUGGAAAAUAAGUUGGCGUUAUGCCAAUUUCCACAUUCAUACAUAUAAUGGAAGCAAGAGCAAGUCAAUAUACUUUGUAAUCUCAUCACUUCUUCUUCUUUCUUUGGGGAGUUCAAAUGAAAUACAAAUUUUGAGUAAAUCAACUAUUCAUUGACGGUACAAACGAGUUAAAAUUUCCAGCAUUCAUGUCUUUGUUUUCCCUCAAGUAAACGUAGUCAAUACUGCAAAUGGUGUGGAAGUAUUGUACAUUGUGGCCCAAAUGUCCAAAAUUUCCCCAUUGCUUGUAAAUGAAAUUUGGGUGAGAGAGAUGGGAGGAAGCAACAGCAAGUGUGAAGUCAAUAGACAAUUGACAGUCUUUAUUCUUUUGUGUGGAAAAUUAUUUGGGACCAAACUUGACUUGUUAUAAGGAAGAAGACUUUGUAAUCUCAUAAAUGUUAAUUAUUUUACUUCUUUGGUAAAAAAAAAAGUAAUCAAUUUUAUGAAUGAAAAAUAUAUGGUAAAGAGGAAGUAGUUGUUGAUCACUAAUAACAUGAUGAUUGUGGAAAUACAAAAAUUCCCGUAUAUGUGUUGAAUUCUGCAUAAUGUAAAUGUCCCGCAUUGCAUGUGAAUUCUGCAAUAAACUAAACUUUACGUGUUAUAGUUCUUUAAACCGAGUUAAUGAAAAGUAACCAUUCUUAUCAAAAUUAGUUAUACUCCUAAUUUAUAACAAAGGAAAUAAUAAUUUGAGUUUAACUCAAAGGUUAAUAUGUCAUCAAUGGGCGAUGGCGUGGUGCUACCAUGUCAGCGAUUAUUUUCUUCUUUGAGUUAAGGUGAUUUCACCAAUUUUAGGUUACUUUUUUACUUCAAUUUAGGUUUAUGCUUAUUAGCUUCGAAGAUUCUAAGUGGGUGCCACAAUCAAAGGGUGAGUAAAAAGGGUUAAAAAUGAUUUUUUUUAAAAAAUAUUUUUAUUUUUUUAUUAAAAAUUUAGAAUUAGAAUUAGACAAAUUUUGUAAAUGUUAAGGCUAACUUUAUUGAAUUUUUUUUUUCAGAAUUUGAACUAAAAUGACAAAUUUUGUAAAAAGCACUAAAUUUGUUGAAUUUUUUACAUUUAGGAUCAAAUUGAUAGAAUGUGUAAAUAUUAGAGGUUAAAUUUGUUAUUAGAUGAAUAAAAAAAACCCACAUCAACUUUCCAUCACUCAUCUAACGACAACUAAAGGGAGAGUGAUUAAAAUAUUUAAUUUCAAAAAGUUUAGCAACUAAAUUGGAAAAUUUAAUAGUUGGGUGACUAUUUUUAUAGUUUACAAUUUUUUUGGUCACCUGACUAUUAAGUGACACGUUUUAGUUGGUAUAAUAAUAAUUUUAGUCCUCAAUUUUUAUACUUUCUGUCAAUUUAACUCUAAUUAUAUAAAAUGAUUACAAAAGUGAAAUUCUUUUUAAAUUUUACAAAAUUCUAAAAAUUAAAUGAAAGUAGAUAAAAAUUUCAAAUAUAAAUAAAGUGAGAGAAAAUGAGGAAAAUAUUAUUUUUAAACCCUCCAAAUUUUAUUUGUAUUAUCUGUAAAGCAAUAUCUAAUAUCCAUUCUUUUAGAAAACAUAGAAAAAGGUAAAAAAAAGCUUAAGUAAAAUUAUCUGUAUAUAAUCUGCUUUUAUAAUUUGGGUUUUUAAAAAUAAAUUUAAAUGAAUUGAAAAUUUGAAUUGAGUUUGAAAAAGAAAAUUUUGUGGUAUAUUUUAUAUUUUUGCUAGAAAAAUAGCAUCAAAGUCGAUUUCGUAAGCUUUUGUAAUAUCAGUUACGGAUGUUCUUCAAGGGCAUAGAACUCAACUUGAAAAUUUUACUAAUUUGGUUACAAAAAAACAUUGAGGAAGCAUAUAAUGAUCUAACUUUUUUUUUCUGUUUUUAAUUUGUUAUGGGAUUCUAUUGAAUGAUAAUUUUUUUUAUUUCCCGUAUUUAGUUCUUCAACAACAACAUAUUCGAGAUUUUAUUUUUCUAGAAUUUUUACAUAAAAGUAAAGUUUGUAUUUUUUAAAAUAAUUUUGAGUUUUUUAUAAUUUUUAUAUAGAAUCGAGGUAAAUUGGCAAAAAAAUUAUAAAAACAAAAUACUAAAAUUGUUUAGUUAAGUGACCAAAACGAAAAUCUACCCAUAGUUCAGUGACUAAUUAUGUAGUUUACCCUUCAUAAUUAAAAAAAUAGCUGUUAAGUUUUUCUUGUAUUAGAUAACAUUUUAGAUGGUAAAAACCCUCUUUAGUCCCUCUCAAUUUUGAUAUUAAGUAAAUUGAUCCAUUUUAAAAAAAAAAUCAAAGCAAUUUAAUCUUUGUUAAUUUCGAAAGUGAACAACUAAAGAUAAUUAAUCACAAUGUCAAUAUUUUCCAUCAAUUGUACAUAUUUUUAUUGGUAUAAUAACAAAUUUAGCUCUCGAAGUUUACACAUUCUGUCAAUUUGGUCUUGAUUUAACAAAUUUAGCCCGCAACAAUUACAUAUUCUAUUAACAUUUACACAUAAUAUAUAAACAUCGAGAGCUUAAUUUGUUAUUAUAUCUGUAAUACCCAAAUUUUGCCCGGCCCAAGCCCAAGUAUCAAAACCCAAAUAAAAAAUAUACAUAAUAAAAGUCCAAUAACAUCAGUCCAGAUUACAAACCAAAUAAAUUAAGCCCAAACUCGAUUACAAAGUCCAAAUUCCCAAGCACAAACUGUUAACCCAACACUCCAGCCCCAAAUUAUUAGCCCAAAAUCAAACCCACUAAGCCUAAUCAGCCAACCCUAACCCGAACGGCCUACAUACCUAGCCCUAAAACAUUUUCAAAAAAACCUAAAGCAACUAUUUGCCUCAGCCGCCGCAACAGUAGCCUCCCACACGCGCGCCUCUCAUUAUCUUGAAGUAUCUUUUUGAAAUUGAUUAUUAAUUUAUGGGGUGCUUAAUUAUUGAUAUUAGUAUUUGUAUGAUAUGACUAAAAUAAUUAUUGUUAUUUGCAUUUACCUAUUAUUUGUUUGUCUUCUUAAUGUAUGUUUGGGUUGUUAUUUAUCCUUUUCGUUAUGUAUUGCUAUUCAAUCAUGUUUCAUUUGUAAGAAUUGUAUUUUUAAAGCACAACAGAUCAUUCUAUUUCAUAAUUUUCAAAAAGGCCUGAUGUUCAUAGCUCUCGAGAGAAUUGUGCCCUAACUUACUGGGCUUCAAUUCUUCUCGAUGAAUUUGAAUAGCCAAGUGUUUAUUGUAUUAAAACCACACAACUUUUAAAAUAAAGUUUUCAAGAUUUUAAAUUGUUGGAUCCUAACUUACUGGAUGUGGCAUUUUGUUAUCCCAAUUUUAAAAUAAAGGCAAUGUUUGACGUUUAAGAACUUCGAGAAAUCGAAACCUAACUUACUGGAUUCUGAUUUCUCAUUUGACUUAAAUGACCGAAUAGCCUUCUCAAAAUGCAUGAAUUUUAAAAUUUGAAAAUUAAAAAGACAUACUUAAUUUUGACGAUUGAAUCGUUGCACUCUAACUUACUGAGUGUGGCAAUUUAUUUCUUUGAAAUGAGUGUGUUUUAUUAUUCAAAUUUAAACUUUAAAAGGAUCGUAUUUUUCGACACUAAGACAUUAAACAAUCGAUUCGGUACCAAUUUUGGGCGUUACGAGGGUACUAACCCUUCCUCGUGCGUAACCGACUCCCGAACCUAUUUUCUCAAAAUUCGUAGACCUAAAAUUAUUUUCAAGGUGAUCCGGUCACACCUCAACAAAAGAUCGGUGGCGACUCCCAUUUUCAUUUUCAAAGUCGAUUCCCAUUUUUAAAACAUAAAAAAUGGUUUCGGCAAUAUCAAUAAAAAUUAUGUACAAUUUACAGAAAGCAUUAACACAAUGAUUAAUUGUCCUUAGUUGCUCCCUUUCAAAAUUAAUAAUGAUUAAAUUGCUCUAAUUUUCUGAGAGGAACCAAUUUGUUCAAUAUAGAAAUUGAGAGGGACGAGAAAUGUGUUUUUAUCCAUUUUAGAUACCAACAAGUGUUUGGCGUAGUGGCAAGGCAUAUUACAUUCUCAAGGAGAGAAUGCGUAUUCAAACGUUGGAGAUAACAAUGUUGUGUGGGGUAUCCACGGAUUUGAACACGGACUAUAAAACAUAUAUAAAGAAUAAAAAGAAUAACAUCUUAAUUUAAAUAAUUAAUAAAUUUUAAUUUGAAAAAAGUAUUUUGAGAAACAUAAGUUUUAGUAAGUAGUAAAAUUGAAUCGAUAAAACAUGUCCAUUAUAUCAGAAUCAUAAAAAUACAACUUAAUUAAUUUGAAUUUAAACUUAACUCAACUCGAUUUUGAUUAUAAAGAACUGAUAAUUUGAAUCCAAAAUGACAUGAUCUUGAAAUGAUUUGAAUUAAUUGUCAAACCUGAACGACAAGACUCGAAAUGAUGCAAUCCAAAAACACAAAUAAAAUGAACUAAACUAUGAAAGAAAAAAAAAACCUUACACCGACUCAAAUCCAAAAUAAUUUAAUCAUAAAAUAACCCAAAUUUUAUAUAAUAUAAACUCGAAAUAACCCAAAAAUUUUUAAAUUAAAAUUGACCCGACCCAAAUUCACACCACCUAAAAUCAAUCGUAACCACCUAAUUAAAAAGCAUGAAAUGAAAUGAUGUAAAGAGAAAAUUAGAGAAAACCAAAUAGAAAGUAACAAGCUUUUUUCAGAAUUGAAAGCAAAUUCCGUACAUUCACGACAUGCAUAAAACAACAAUGGUUUAUAGAAUUUGAGUUUUAGUCCCUGUACUUUAAAAGUUAAUUUUUCUUAAUUUAAAAAUUUUAGUUUAAUCAUUCAUGUUGGUUGUAGUUUCCAUUAGCUUAAUCAACAUGUUAAAUUAUUAAAUUUUGAUAUAAAAUAUUUACGAGUUUAAUAAUUAUACUGAGAUUUUUAAAUAAAAAAGUUGGAAGACUUAAUUUCUAACAUUUUAAAUAUAGGGACUAAAAGCAUCUUUUAACUUUGAUAUUAUUAUUAUAAGCAGGGAUAAUGUCAUCUUUGGCAUCUGUACUUUUAUAAAAUGUCUAGUGGUACAAGUACUUUGAAAAUAUAUAAUGUGGUACCUGAACUAUCAAUAUGUGUUAUUAUUAUGGUACAUGUACUUUGAAAAUGUUUAAUGUGGUACCUAAACUAUCAAUAUAUAUUUUAUUAUGAUACUUGAUAAAGAUGGACUAUUAUUGGUAGCUUAAGGGGCUCUUUGUCCCGCCAUCCCUGCAAAAAAAAAAUUGGAGAAUUUUGUUUUUUCCUUUAAAAUUUUUAGAAAAUUUCAAUUAAGCCCUCAAAAUUUUUGAAAAUUUUCAUUAUACCUUUUAAUUUUUUAAAAAAUUUUAAUUAAGCACUCUUAAAUUUUGAAAAUUCUCAUUAAUCUCACAAAAAUUUUAAUUUUUUUAAAAAAAAUAUUAUUAAACCAUUAAAUUUUUAGAAAAUUUUACCUGCCCCCUCCCCCAAAAAAAAACCUAGUCCCAACCCCUAGGAUCCGCCAUUGGUACUUGGUAUUAACACUGUUAGAAAAUUGCUAAAUAAACCAAUGAAAAUUUGACACAUAGAACCCUUUUUUUAAUUAUCAAGUCCACGUGGAUAAAAUAAUAGUGAAAAACUAAAUAAAACAAUAAUUAAAUGAAAUAAAAAAACAAAUAACUAAACAUAUGGUUAAUAAAAAAAAGCCGUACUUUCAAAGAUAAUAAAAAAUAUUAUUUAAAAAUCAAUUGAAAAUAUUAUUUUAAAAGGAAAACUCUUUGGAGAAGAUGAUCAUUUGCUUAAAUGGAGAAUAUAAUAUUUUUGGUUAUGCAAGUUUAGUAUUUACUUCUUUUUUAUUAAUCAUAUGUUUAGUUUUUUUAAUUAAUUUAAUUGUUUUAUUUAGUUUUUCACAUAAUGUUAUUUUACACAUGCGGACUUGAUGAAUUAGAAAAAAAUAUUACGUGUUAAAUUUUCAUUGGUUGGUCUAAUAAUUCAUUAACGGUGGAUUUGUUCUACAUUGAUGACAAAGAUGUGGAGUUUAAAGAAGUAAGAACUUAUCAACAAUAUUCGAGGUUCUGUUGUAUGUUGCCUUAUUAAAGAAGUCUUCACUUAAAAUCUUCUAUGUUGCCUUAUGUAUGUAGGUUCUUGAGUCACCUUUGCCAAAAGCACCACAUGAUACAUCUGUUACAUCCCACUGGCUUGCGAUUUAAGGCAUUCAACCAGUAAUUCCAGAAAAUGCUUCAAUUGAAGGUACCGUCUUAGCUAACCUAAAUAUUCUCUCGAAGCUAUUUGUGUUGAAGACUCUCAUGGUUCAUGUUCUUUUCUGGUUUUAUCACUUUAAUCUAAUACGAGUUAUCUUCAUUUCUACAUGGAAUUGGUAUUUUGCUUUCCAUGCAGCACCUUCUGAUGGUAAAAAGGCUGAAUACAAAGAAGAUGGGCUUUCCGUUGAUGUCAAAUUAUUUGUUAAACAUGUAUUAUCUAGAGAGCUUCAAGUAUGUUGUACAUCUUCAGCAACAUUUUUAUGUUAAAAUACAUUUUGCACAGAAUGAUAUUAAAAGACUAAUUUGGUUGUCAUGCAGCUUUACUUUGACAAGAUCGUGGACAUUACCAUGAAUAAAUCAGUAUCAAUUCUCUUUAAACAAGCAUUACUGAGUUUGGCAACAGACUCGGGAUUACAUCCUUUAGUUCCUUAUUUUACAUAUUUCAUUGCGGAUGAGGUUGUCUUAAAGAUCUUUCAUACCUCAUUAUAUAUGUGUGUUGCAAAGAACUUUUGGUUGGUUAUCUCAAGCUUACAUUUUUGCCACAUUUAUCUCAGGUUGCACGGAAUUUGAAUAAAUUCCCUCUCAUGUUUGCUUUGAUGCGUGUUGCCCGGAGUCUUCUCGAGAAUGAACACUUACACAUAGAACCUUACGUGAGUUUAUUAUUUCAAUCAUUUAGAAGUACACGAACUAAUGCAAAUAUGCUAGUGGUUUAUUUUCCACCUAUCUGAUUUUUUAAAAUGUUCUUCAGUUACACCAGUUGAUGCCAUCUAUUAUUACCUGCCUUGUUGCAAAAAGGUUAGGAAAUAAAUUCACCGACAAUCAUUGGGAACUUAGAAACUUUGCAGCAAAGCUAGUGGCAUCAAUAUGCAAAAGGUGAAGAUUUCUUUUCUUUUGGACUUAUACAUGCAUAUUCGUUUUUAUGAAUUUCAGGUGUCGAGUUUUUAGUUAUAAACUUGGACCUAUUCUUCAAAUCAUGUGUAUAUCAUUUUUAUGCUAUUUCACACAUGCAAAACAAAUGGUGCAAGCAUGCAUGUUAUAUGCACAGAAUUGUUGAAAGCUGGACUGCAAUGCAACAUGGAGCCAGAAGCAUGCAACUGUCGAGACCAGCAGCUAUCAAGCUCAGCUCAUUUUGCUUGGAGCGCACGAAUGGUUUUUGGACCAAAUGAAGCAACUGACAUUGCUGUUUUGUUUUGAUGUAAUUUAGUUCAGUUUGAUUGUAACUAGCUUUAAUAGUUAGUAGGAUUAAGUUAGUGAUUAGAUAGCUGAUGUAAAAGCUGAUAUGGCAGCUCAUUUUGUAUUUGACUUUAACUUAUUUUGGUUGUAAAUUAGUGGAUGCAGUUAGAUUAGUAGGUAACUAUCAAAUGAACAAAUUGUAACUCCUUUUUAUUUCAAAAAAUUUUGGAUGAAACGUAAUAAUGUUCAGUUACAAUUCUGGCUGUACAUUCAAGUUUCUUGCUUGCUGCUCUGCUUGUUUUUCUUUUCUGCUUCGUUUACUCUUGCUUCUGCUUGCAAAUCUCUUUGUUGCUGCUGCCAUUGUUCCAACAAGAAUACAUAGAUUAAUUACGUGUGGAUCAUUAAGAAUGCCUAUGUAUUGGAAAUUGGCCAACCAUGCUGCUGUUACAUUUUGUGUUGAAGUGCAUGCAGCUUGAUGACAUGCUGCAGCACAUAUGCUUGCUGUAACAGCAAGGUUUCUCUUUAGUUUCAUCCUAAUUAAACUAGUUGAAAAUGAACAAGUUGAUGACAACUUGAUGCAUGAGGUGUUGAAUGAUUAGUUUAGGUGGCUUGUUUAUGUGUACAAGCAAUGUUUUAAUAGUCCCAAUGCUGAUUAGUGGGGUUAGUUGACUAUUUGGUGAUGUAUUUGACUAUAAAUGUAUGUUUUUUUUCGUUGAAUGAAUGAGCUGAAUAAGCUAUCAGCCAUAUGCUCCCUUGCUGCACAUUUGUGAGCAAGUAAAAAUACUUCUUGCAUCUUGCUUCAUUGUUCUGUGCUCUCUGUUCUCUUCUUUUGCUGCUGCCAAUGCUCCAACACUAUGUUUGACCAUUGUGUGUGGCUACUUUUUUUUUACAUGAUCCAAUUUUCGAUAUGAUAUGCUUUGCUUUUAGGUUGAAUGCGGAAAAGAUUAGAACUUAAUUUCCAGCAUAAUGAUUUGUCUUGGAUAUGCAGAUUUUUACAUGCAUUUCUUAAAAGUCAAUAUUUUAUAGAUUCGGGCAUGUUUAUCACAACCUUCAGCCACGUGUGACAAGGACACUGCUCCACGCUUUUUUGGACCCAACGAAAACAUUUCCCCAGCAUUACGGAGCAAUUCAAGGGUUAGCAUGUUAGAAAUCAAACCCACUCCAAGCAUAAUCUAGAAGCAUGAGACGUGGAGCAAUUUUGUGCCAUGCAAAGUGCUGAAAUUUUAGCCAUACAAAGUGCUCCAUUAUUGAGAUGUUUUGUGGCUGGAAAUUAAGUGGAUUAAUAGCCACAUUUGUUGUCACUUUAUCAGCCUAUAAAUAGAGGCUUGAACUUGUGUUGUAAAAAAGAAGAAAAAUGAGAAGAAAAAAGAAAUAAGAGAAGCAACGUGAGUGAGAGUGAGAAGGUUAGCAAACCUUGAGUGAGUUAAAAUCUAGCAGCAGCUAGACUAUCUAGUCAUUGAGAAAAUAUUUGUAAUCUUCGUAUUGUAAUAUAUUGAGUGUGUAAUAAAAAGUAAAUUUUCGGCCCAUCACGUUUCCAACAAGUGGCAUCAGAGCUACGGUUCGGAGCUUGGUUCGGAGUUCGGUUCGUGUCCGGUUCGUGUCCAGUUCGGAGUACCUUUGGUGUUCAUCUAACAAGUCGAUAUGGGCGACGUAAUUCAGCUACAAGUUCCACAAUUGACGAAGACAAAUUAUGGAAAUUGGAGCAUUCGAAUGAAGGCUUUGCUCGGUUCGCAAGAUUGUUGGGAGAUCGUUGAAAAAGGAUACAUCGAGCCCGGAGAUGCCGCUACAGAAGCAGCUUUAUCAAAUGACGCUAAGAAGGCGUUACGAGAAGCACGAAAGAAGGAUCAAAAGGCCUUGAAUAGUAUCUUUCAAGGUAUGGAUGAAUCAACCUUCGAGAAAAUAUCAGAUGUGAAGAACGCGAAGAAUGCAUGGGAGAUUUUGCAAAAAUCAUUUCAAGGUGUAGAAAAAGCUAAAAAGGUACGCCUUCAGUCACUUAGAGCUGAAUUUGAAAUGUUAAAAAUGAAGAGCUCCGAGAAUAUCGAUGACUAUGCCAAUCGUGUAAAAUCGGUGGUAAAUGAAAUGAAACGAAAUGGAGAAACUCUUGACGAGGUAAGAAUGAUGGAGAAAAUUCUACGGUCACUCACACGCAAAUUCGAGUACGUAGUCGUUGCCAUCGAAGAAUCAAAAGAUUUGUCAAAGAUGUCGCUCGAAGAACUUGUGGGUUCUCUGCAAGCCCAUGAGCAAAAGAUGAAGCUAAAUGAAGAUAGUGAAAAUCUUGAUCAAGCCUUGCAUAGCAAGUUGUCCGUCGACGACGGAGAAACAAGUAAUAACUUUAACCAAGGAAGAGGAAACCGCAGAGGAUACCGUGGAGGCUACCGUGGUGGAAACAGAGGAGGAAGAGGAUCACGAGGACGUGGAAAUCAAUCAUAUGGGAGAUAUCAAGAAAAUAAAGAUUAUCAAACAUCCAACCGUGGACGUGGAUCUAGAGGUCGUGGCCGAGGCAGAUUUCAAGAAAAUAAAUCUCAGGUACAAUGCUACAACUGUAACAAGUAUGGACAUUUCAGUUACGAGUGCAGAUCAACACACAAAGUGGAUGAAAGAAACCAUGUAGCAGUCAUAGCAGAAGGCAACGAAAAAGUGGAAUCAAGUGUCUUUCUCACUUACGGAGAAAAUGAAGAUCGCAAGAGAAGUGUGUGGUAUCUCGACAACGGUGCAAGCAACCACAUGUGUGGAAGAAAGGAGCUGUUCACAGAAUUAGAUGAAACAGUUCAUGGACAAAUAACUUUUGGAGACAACUCACAUGCAGAAAUCAAAGGAAAGGGCAAGGUUGUUAUAACACAAAGGAAUGGAGAGAAGAAGUACAUCUCAGACGUUUACUACGUACCAGCUUUGAAGAGCAACCUGAUCAGUCUUGGUCAACUCCUAGAAAAAGGAUAUGAAGUUCAUAUGAAAGACCGCUCACUCGCCAUCAGGAACAAAAGUGGAGAAUUAGUUGUUCGAGUUGAUAUGACGCGAAAUCGUCUUUUCACCCUCGACAUCGAGUCUGGAGAAGUAAAAUGCAUGAAGACGGAUCUGAAGAAUGAAUCAUGGUUGUGGCACUUAAGGUACGGACAUCUCGGAUUUUCUGGCUUGAAGCUGUUGUCGAAGACAAAUAUGGUGAAUGGAUUACCAAGUAUUAAUCAUCCAGAUCAACUGUGUGAAGCCUGUGUCAAAGGAAAGUAGCAUAGGCAGAAAUUUGAAGUAGGAAAAUCUCGAAGAGCUAGAAGACCAUUGGAAAUUGUACACACCGACAUAUCUGGUCCGUACGACAUUGAAUCACUCGGUGGAAACAGGUACUACCUAACUUUUAUUGAUGAUUAUAGCAGAAAAUGUUGGGUUUAUUUUCUCAAAGCAAAAUCGGAAGCCCUAGAAAAAUUCAAGGAGUUCAAAGCAAUGGUGGAAAAACAGAGUGGUCGAUAUUUGAAGAUACUCAGAUCCGAUAGAGGAGGCGAGUAUACUGCAAAGCUUUAUGAAAGUUUCUGCAAAGAUCAUGGAAUCAUUCAUCAGUUAACAGCCAGACGCACUCCACAACAAAACGGAGUUGCAGAAAGGAAGAAUCGGACAAUUCUGGAUAUGGCAAGAAGCAUGAUAAAAGGUAAACACCUUCCGAGAAAUUUCUGGGCUGAAGCCGUUGAAUGCGCAGUUUAUCUGUUGAAUCAAUGUCCAACAAAAAGUGUAAGACACAAGACACCAGAAGAAGCAUGGAGCGAUCACAAGCCAAGAGUUGGACACCUCAAAAUUUUUGGAUGCAUUGCAUAUGCACACGUUCCUGAGCAACAGAGGAAAAAGCUUGACGAUAGAGGAGAGAAGUGUAUCUUUAUAGGCUAUGACAAAAGAAGUAAGGCCUACAGACUUUAUAAUCCUCUUACUAAGAAAUUGAUUAUCUCAAGAGAUGUCGAGUUCGAUGAAGCGGAUUACUGGAGAUGGAGUGAAGAAGAAAAGAAAGUGGAAGGAUUAUUUUUCAACGAAGACGACAAUGAUGUCAUCAACCAAGAAGAACAAGGCGAUGAUCAAAGUCCUGGUACAACAGCCCCUUCGUCACCAACCAGCAGCAGCGGAAGCAGCAGCUCAGAUGAAGCACCCACAAGAACACGGAGUCUCAACGACAUCUACAAUUCUACGGAACCUGUAGAGACGCAGUUCGAUUAUUCACUAUUCUGUCUAAUGACAGAAUGUGAUCCAGUGACAUACGAAGAAGCAAUUGAAGACAAUAAAUGGAAGAAGGCCAUGGACGAGGAGAUUGCUGCAAUAAGAAGGAAUGACACGUGGGAGCUAACAAGUCUGCCAGAAGGACAUAGCCCGAUUGGUGUCAAGUGGGUGUACAAGACGAAGACCAACAAAGAAGGAAAAGUAGAGAAAUACAAGGCAAGACUAGUCGCCAAAGGCUACAAGCAAAGACAAGGAGUGGACUAUGAUGAAAUAUUUGCUCCAGUCGCAAGAAUAGACACAAUUAGGCUUCUCAUAGCGGUCGCAGCACAAUACAAAUGGAAAAUCUAUCAGAUGGACGUCAAGUCUGCAUUCCUGAAUGGCUACUUGGAGGAGGAAGUCUACAUAGAACAACCACCUGGAUAUAGCAUACAAGGAAAGGAGGACAAAGUCUACCGAUUAAAGAAAGCUUUGUAUGGAUUGAAGCAAGCCCCAAGAGCAUGGAACACAAGGAUCGACGAGUACUUCCGAAGAAAUGGAUUCAUCAAAAGCCCGCACGAGCACACCCUGUACACAAAGAAGAAUGGAUAUGGAGAUAUCAUGAUCGUAUGCCUAUAUGUGGAUGACAUGAUCUUCACCGGAAACAAUCCAGGUAUGUCUGAUGAUUUCAAGAAAGCUAUGACUAAAGAAUUUGAAAUGACAGAUAUCGGUGAGAUGUCAUACUUUCUUGGAGUCGAGGUGAAACAAAUGCAAGAUGGAAUUUUUGUCUCUCAAAAGAAGUAUGCGGAGCAGAUUUUGAACAAGUUCAAAAUGAAGGAUUGCAAGCCAGUAGUCACGCCAGCUGAUCCAGGGAUGAAGCUAAGUGUUGAUUCGACAAGGGAGUCGAUAAAUCCGACGUUGUUUAAAAGUCUCGUUGGAAGUUUAAGGUAUUUGACAAUCACACGACCAGAUAUUACAUAUGCAGUAGGAUUGGUGAGCAGAUUCAUGGAGAAGCCGAAGCAAGACCACUUAAUUGCCGCAAAAAGAAUUUUGAGAUAUAUCAAAGGUACGAUGAACCAUGGUUUAUUCUAUACCCACUCACAAGAUUCAAAAUUAGUUGGCUACUCAGAUAGCGAUUAUGGGGGAGACUUGGAUGAUCGGAAAAGCACUUCCGGAUAUGCAUUCCACAUCAAUUCCGCAGUUUUUUCAUGGUCGUCAAAGAAGCAACAAACAAUUGCUCUCUCAACAUGUGAAGCAGAGUAUAUGGCCGCAGCAACUUGUACAUGCCAAGCAAUGUGGUUGAAGAAUAUUUUGGGAGAAAUAGGUGUUUCAAAUGAAGGUCCAAUUACCAUCUACGUUGACAACAAAUCCGCUAUAUCACUUGCCAAGAAUCCGGUGUCGCACAGCCGAAGCAAGCACAUCGAUACGAAGUAUCAUUUUAUCCGAGAGCAAGUGAAAAACAAAAACGUGGAGUUGGUCCAUUGCAGGACAGAAGAUCAACUGGCAGAUAUUUUCACAAAGCCGUUGAAAGUGGAGACAUUCAACAAAUUCAAAGAGAAGCUCGGUAUGAAAGUUGGGUUUGAGGGGGAGUGUUAGAAAUCAAACCCACUCCAAGCAUAAUCUAGAAGCAUGAGACGUGGAGCAAUUUUGUGCCAUGCAAAGUGCUGAAAUUUUAGCCAUACAAAGUGCUCCAUUAUUGAGAUGUUUUGUGGCUGGAAAUUAAGUGGAUUAAUAGCCACAUUUGUUGUCACUUUAUCAGCCUAUAAAUAGAGGCUUGAACUUGUGUUGUAAAAAAGAAGAAAAAUGAGAAGAAAAAAGAAAUAAGAGAAGCAACGUGAGUGAGAGUGAGAAGGUUAGCAAACCUUGAGUGAGUUAAAAUCUAGCAGCAGCUAGACUAUCUAGUCAUUGAGAAAAUAUUUGUAAUCUUCGUAUUGUAAUAUAUUGAGUGUGUAAUAAAAAGUAAAUUUUCGGCCCAUCACGUUUCCAACAUAGCAUCCCUUGGACCCAGUGUGGUAUAAUUCUAAUCUCAAAUAUUUACUAGCAACACAAUAAGAUACUGGUUUGUGGGAUCAAUUGGUCAAAGAUAUUGCAAUGAUAGCCAUCUUUUUAAGUCCAUUUCUUUCAGAAAACUGUUUUGUCACUCUUUUCUGCAAGAUCCGAAGAAAGAAAGAACUUGGAAAUCUAUAGUCCAAAAGUGUAAAUAUGCGGUUUCUCUAUAGGUAUCUUUAUUAUGGCAUCUGUAAAGUUUGUCUUUCAUAUGUUUGAGUAACGCUUCUUCUUCCAUAUGUAGGUUCGUUUACUUAUACUACCAAAUCUUGAAGCGUAUUUGCAGCUUUUUGAACCUGAAAUAAAAAGACACGAGGCCUGGUGUGUUUAUGGGGCACUGCUGGUAAGUUUAACAUCAAAUUUGGUACCAGUUUAUGAGCAUCGUUUCAUUUAUUUGCUGUAGAACUAACAACACUGCAUAAAAUUUCCACUAACAGCGUGCAGCUGGACUGUGCAUGUAUGAUCGGCUUAAAAUGUUACCCAGUUUGCUAGCACCCUCAACUCGUCCCGUCUGGAAAAGCAACACCAAAGUUGCGACAAGUAUGAUUUCUUCGAACCAUCAUAUUUACACUUAAUCCACAAAUCUCUUCUCCCCCUUUACGAUAUUCCUUUUUCUGAUCAAUCAAGAUAAACGAAAAGCAAGCACGGACACCUUGAUGCAGCAGCAACCAACUGCCAAGAAAAUAGCAACUGAGAGUGCAAUAGGUAUGAUGCCGAUAAAUUCCAUGCAAACUGAUUUACAAGGGGCAGUUAGCGGCUUUUCUACCACCGUAGGAGGUUCCAGUAUCUGUGUAUCAUCAAUGUCACGGCCGUUAUCAAACGAUAACAUGCUUGGAAGGGAGGUUGGGGGUCGAGUUUCAAAGACAUCAACCGUUCUAGCUCAGGCUUGGAACCGGGGAACUUGUUAGCAUCAUUAUUUGAACUUUUUGGUGAAAGUAUGUUAUCAUUUACUCCCAAACCUGAGCUUUCAUUCUUCCUUUGAUUAAAUUUCACCUCCAAAAGCUAUGGUUUUUGAAGGAAUUUGUGUAAUUAAUCCCCAUAGUUUUUUUCAGUCUUACUGUGUUUAUCUUUAUAAGUCUUCUUUCUUUUUUUUCCUUGCUCAUAAAUGUAUUGUAGUUAUCAAAAAAUAUAUUCUACUUUGGAUUUUAUUUAUAUUAAAUUUUACGUUAAAUUCUGCUAUUAGUCUCUGUACUUUACGAAAAUGAUGGAUUUAGUCCUUAUACCUUAAUUUGAUCAAUUUUAGUCAUUGUAUUUUUUGAAUUGGUCAAUUUUAAACUAUCUACCUUUUAAAUUUUGAAAUUUUAGUCUUGACCCAAAUAAUAAUAAUAAUAAUAAUUAAAUCUGCUUAUUUAAAUUCAAUUAUUAGUUUUGUAUUAUGUAGACAGAUAUAGAUUUAAUCCAUAUUUUUCAAUUGGGUCAUUCCAAGUCUUUAUACUUUUCAAAUUUUGAAAUUUCAAUAUUGAUGCAGAACGAGAGUUGUUAUUAAUUAAUUGAUUAUUUAGCAAGUAUAUGUAGAAAUAACAAGUUGGCAUGUCAUUAUACUUAAAAAAAUAUAUUGGCUUAACCCACCUAAAUUAUGUCUUUUUUUCCAUCUUCGGACCUCAAUUUUUUUAGGGUCAUAAGUGGUACCUAAACUACUUUUUUUCUCCUUCAAAUUAGUAUCUUCAUUAGUUAAACCGUUAAGUCUAUUUAAAAAAGAAAGACUCGAACAACAAAUUAAUACCUAAAACAAUGCUCUUUUUCCCAAUGUAUCUAAUUUUUAUUUUGGCCAUAAGUACUACUAAAACUAUUCUUCCGUUACUCGUUUUACACAAAAUGUUAUAUCGGCUAAAAAGAUUGCAACAAAUAAUAGAUUGUAUGUCAUAUAAACUUUUAAAAAUAAUUAUUAAUUAAUUAUUUUUUAUAUUUUUCUUUCUUAUUCCUUUAUAAUGUUUGACAAUGCCGAUAAUGUUUGAAAUUGGCCCACUUGAGGUCGAAACGCUGGUGAUUAAUUUUGGUUUUGAAUUUCACCACCUAUUUCUCUGACCUGAGGGGAUAAAAAAUGUUCUUUCAUUGAUCAAAACUAGUGUUUUCAAAAACAGACUGAUUCAACCGGAAAUAGGGGUUGAAUCAUUGACUUGCGAGCAAAAACAAAUCAGUUGAACUAAGCUAAAAAAAACUAGUUGAACUAGUUCUCUCUAUUUAUAUAUAUAAAAAUAAUAAUAGUCUUUUUUUUAUUACAUGUCAAUUUUUAUUUGGUUAUUUUUUUUUCAUAUAAACUGAACGGUUUGACUAAUGACGGAGGUACCAAAUUAUAGUCUAGGUACCAAUUUAUGGGUUAAGCCUAUUUCUAAAAUAGACUUUUGACUAAUGGCGGUAGUAACUUGGGAAAAAAAAGUAGUUUAUGUACCACUUGUGACCAAAAAUAAGUUUAGGUACCAACAUCGUAAAAUGAGUAUAAUUUAGAUACCGAUUUAUGAGUUAAGCCUAAUAUAUUUGUCGCAUCAUUUUUUAAAAAUAACAGAACUUAAUAAAUUUAACGAUUAUUGUUUGAUGAUGACUAAAAUUUUAAAAUUUGAAAAGUACAUGAACUAAAAAUGACCAAAUUAAAGUAUAAAGAUUAAGUCCACAACUUUUGCAAAGUACAAGGACUAAUAGCAGAAAUUAACCUAAAUUUCAUAUGGGUCAAUUACAAAAAUAAUCACUAAGCUAUUCCUUUGGUUCUAUUCUAGUCAUUCAACUAUAGAGGUGCUCAUGAGUUGGGCCAGGUCAGGCCUAAGGAUGAUAUUAACGUACUUUAUACUUGCUCAAGCUUGGCUCGGCCCGAAAUAUGAGCUUAAAUUUUCACCUAAACUCAUCCAUAUUUGCAAAAGACUAACGCAAGCUCAUUUUAGGCAUGCUUAUAUAAUUUUUAGUUUUUGUUUAAAUAUUUAUAUUAUAUUAUUUUAAUAUUUAAUAAUUUAAACAUUUUUUAUUUAUUGAAAAUUUUUAUAUAGUCAUCUAAUUAACAUUAUUUUAAUGUUUACAUUAUAGUAUUAUUAUAUAUUUAAUAUAAGUUUAUUUUUUAAUCUGUUCUAAAUUUUAUAAUAUAAAGUAUUAUACACUUAAAAAUGGGCCGGGCUGGGCUCGAGCUUUGAAUGUUCAAGCCUGAACCCAGCCCAAAUUUUAAACGGGCCUAUUUUUUUUUUACCCAAACCUAAUUUUUGGGCCUAAUAUUUUUAUCCAGACCCUCCCAAAUUUUUGGACCUUGCCAAGUAGCCCAACUCAUUAACAAGUUUACUCAACUAUUAAUUUUUUCGAUUUAGUUGUUAACCUUUUCGAAAGUAAAUAUUUUAGUCACUCUCCUGUUAGUUGUUGCUAAAUGAGUGACGGAAAGCUAAUGUGGGUUUUUUUUAUUAGUCUAAUAACAAAUUUAGCCCUAAAUGUUAACAAAACUUGUCAUUUUAGUUCAAAUUCUAAAAAUUUUAAUAAAUUUAACCCUUAAUAUUUUCAAAAAUUAGCAAUUUAGUUCUAAUUCUAAAAAUUUUAAUAUAUAUUUAAAAAAAUAUUUUUAAUCCUCUGUCUCACCCUUUGAUUUUUUUAGAUGAGCUAAAAUCAAAACAUAUCGUUAUAUCUUUUUGUUUUAAUGCUAAAAGAGAUAAAAAAAAUGAAAAGCUAAAAUGACUUUUCGUUUGUAAAGUUAAAAAAUGCUAAAUAAAUCAUUAUGUCUUUUUAGUUUUAAUUUUUUACUUGAUUAAAAGAGAAAUAAUUAACGAAUAAAAAAUAAUUAUUCCCAAAUAAAUUUAUCAAAAUUUAUAAUAAAUGAGAUUUUGAAUUUAUCAAAAUAUAUAUAAGUAUACACAUUUUUAUGAAAUAUAAGAUUUUGCUAAAAGAAAAAGCAUACAAAAGUAUACACCUUUUUAUGAAACACAAGAUUUUGCUAAAAGAAAAAUAUAUGGUAAAAGGAAGACUAAGUGGUGGUUAAAAAAUACAAAAAAUUUUGAAAAUCUAAUAUCCAUAACUUUUCAAUGUAAAAGAAAAACAGACUGUAACACCAAUGUUGUGGUUUUAUUUGUUGCCUAUAAAUGCCAUUCCUAUCCUUCAUCUUCCUCUACCAACAUAACAUGGCCUCCUAUCUCUUUCUCUGCCUAUUCCUCUUCUUUCCCCAUCUUUAUGCUUCUUUUUCUUCUUCAGGAUCUCACUCCUGCUCUUCACUAACCCAGUUCAAGAAUUCUUUUUCCAUCACUCAGACAGAGGGUGCUUCUUUGUCUUGCAAUGAGAUUGCUGGCCUUAAAUCUUAUCCCAAGACAAAUUCAUGGAAGGAGGGUACAGAUUGCUGCUCAUGGGAUGGGGUCACUUGUGACCACCUAAAUGCUCAUGGUAUUGCCCUUGACUUGAGCUGCAGUUGGCUAUAUGGCAACUUCCCUCCCAAUACCACUCUCUUCCUUCUUCCUCACCUUCAAAAACUCAACCUUGCCUUCAAUGAUUUUAAUCUUUCCAAAAUUCCAUCCGAGUUCGGUGGGUUUACAAGCCUAUUCUACCUCAACCUUUCUCAUACAGGGUUUGCAGGACAAGUCCCAUCCCAAGUCUCCCACCUGUCAAAAUUGGUUUCACUUGAUAUCUCCUCUUCGAUUUAUGACUAUGAGAAAUUUACAAUUGACAAACAUGCUCUGGAGGGACUUGUUCACAACCUAUCCGAGGUCAGACAUCUGUUUUUGGAUGGAAUGGACAUGUCUUCUGUUAAUGCUCAUGUCUUCAUGAAUCUAUCCUCUUCUCUAAGGUCUCUCAGUCUUGCUUAUUGUGAUUUGCAAGGAAAAUUCCCAAAAAACAUUUUUGAUUUGCCAAACCUCAAUCUCCUCAACUUGGGAAGCAACCCAAUCCUCAGUCUUGAUCCUUUGAAGUUGAAUCGGAGCAGCAAUCUUGAACAUUUGGAUCUGUCGUCCAUGUCCUUCUCUACAGAAUUCAUUGAUUCAGUUGAUAAUCUACAGGCCUUAAAGUACUUAGAUCUAUCAGGACAUUUUUUCUCUCAACGAUUGUCUGUCUCAAAAACAAAAUCGGGGUACUUGUUUACUGGAGACGCAAAUUUUUUUGGAGGAUUGCCUGACUCGAUGGGGAAUCUUGUGUCUUUGAAGUUUUUAGAUCUCUCCUAUUCCAACUUAUCAGGAACGGUUCCAAGAUCACUGGGGAAUCUCUUGCAACUCACUCAUUUAGACUUGUCGGGGAACCAAUUUAGUGGACAAAUUCCAUCGUCAAUUCUAAACCUAACGCAGUUGGAAUACUUGAAAAUAUCUGAAAAUUCAUUAGAAGGUUCCAUUCCAGAUGAGGUAACCGCUUUUCCUAAUUUAAUAUAUUUAUACUUAGAUAACAAUUUACUUAAUGGAAUACUUCCGUCAUGGUUGUAUACUGCUCCCCCCUUAAAGAGAAUAGAUCUCUCUAAAAAUCAAUUCAGUGGACAUAUCAAAGAAUUCCAAUCCAAAUCACUAGAAUUGAUAUGGUUAGAGAAUAAUAAACUCCAAGGUCCUCUUCCAUCUUCAAUAUUCCAACUUCUCAAUCUUACCGGACUCAAGUUAUCCUCAAAUAAUCUUAGUGGUGUCAUAGAGUUUAGCAUGUUCUCAAACCUUCCAAAUCUCGAAUAUCUUGACCUUUCAUAUAACAGCCUAUCCUUAACAUCUAAUACUACUUCUACUGUUAAUCUUACAAGCUUAUUUUUGUCAUCUUGCAAUCUUAGUGAAUUCCCCCAAUUUUUGAAAGGGCUUAAAAGUUUGGAAAGCUUAGACCUCUCUUGCAACAAAAUUGAAGGCAAGAUUCCACAGUGGAUGCAAGAGGUGGGGAAUGGCUCUUUGACUUACUUAAAUGUAUCUCACAACUCUUUGACAGAAGUUGAGCACUUUCCAUGGAAUAAUAUUGCAGUUCUUGACUUAAGCUCCAAUUUGAUCCGUGGAAAUCUUCCGAUUCCAGCUUCGACCAUAAGAGUCUUUUUGAUCUCAAAUAAUAGUUUCAAUGGAGAGGUCUCUUCUUUAAUAUGCAAUGCCACUUAUCUUCAAAUUCUUGAUUUGUCCCACAAUUACUUGAGUGGAUCAAUUCCGCAAUGUUUUGGAAAUUUGAGCUACUGGCUUGAAUUCUUGAAUCUGAAGAAGAAGUUUUAUGGGACGAUUCCUCCAGCAUUCGCAAAGGGAUGCCAAUUGAGUAAUUUCAACUUAAAUGGAAAUCUGUUAGAAGGGCCUUUGACACCAUCCAUCCUUAAUUGUAGAGGUCUGGAAGUGCUAGAUCUUGGUAACAACAAGAUCAAUGAUACAUUUCCUCAUUGGUUGGGCAGUCUUCCAUUUUUGCAAGUUCUUGUAUUGAAGGCUAUCAUAAAUCUAGAGAAGAUUGGGAGUACAAUGUCGUACAUGGGGGUGAAUUGUCCUGGAAGUGGCUUCUAUACCUAUUCCAUUGGAAUUGUUAUGAAAGGACAAGAUAUGGACUUGGUGAAAAUUUUCACCAUGUGGAUGAUCAUUGAUCUAUCAAACAAUCAGUUUGAAGGGGGUAUUCCAGAGGUUUUUGGGAAGCUUAACUUACUGAAAGGGCUCAACCUUUCUCAUAAUAACCUUAAUGGUGGUAUCCCCACCUCAAUAGGGAAUUUGACAAGUCUUGAAUGGUUGGACCUAUCUUCAAACAGGUUGUCUGGGACGAUUCCAAAUAGAUUGGCAGAUCUGCCAUUUCUUUCGUCCUUCAAUGUUUCUGAAAAUAAACUCCAUGGUCAGAUUCCUCAAGGCAAACAGUUAAACACAUUUGGAAAUGAUUCAUAUGAAGGAAACAAGGGAAAAUAAACUCCAUGGUCAGAUUCCUCAAGGCAAACAGUUCAACACAUUUGGAAAUGAUUCAUAUGAAGGAAACAAGGGAUUAUGUGGAUUUCCGGUCUCAAAAGGUUGCAACAUCAUUGAGCCACCACCUCCAAAUGUGCUUGAAAAAGAUGGCUCAAAAUCAAACAUUACUUUUGGUUGGAAAGUGGUGUUGAUAGGUUAUGGAUGCGGAGUGGUGUUCGGAAUGUCCGUGGGAUAUGUUGUUUUCCAAACUGGUAAGCCGAAAUGGUUGGUGAAUUUGUUGAAAUCCAACAUGAGAAGAAGCGAAGAAGAAAGUCAAAGGAUGGCAGUCGCAGAAAUGGACGAAGAAGGAUCUAGUUAGUGGAAAUGAUGUUCAAGUGUUGAUGUUGUAUCUUCAUAAUUUCUUGUUUUGAAGUCUUUCAAUUUUUUUCCUAUGGUGAAAGGUUGCAUUGGCAUGCAUCUGUCUUUGUUAUUGUGACAAUUCAUCUAUAUUUCAUUGCAUUACAUAGUAUUUGUAAGGGUUUGUUUUAAAUGUAACAUUUUGUAUGGUUCAACUAUUUAUGUCUUCUUUCAUGACUUUCAUUUUUGAGUCUCAAUAAUCUCUGCAUUCAAGAUUUUGUCAGCUUAUUAAUUGGUAAAAAUUAUAUGAAUAAACUUUUAUAAAUAUAAAUAUGAAUAAACUUUUAUAAAUAUAAAGUGUAAUUUAUGAGUCGAGUUAUUCAAUAAGAAAAAAAAACCCUCAUUUCAAUGUUCAAUAUAUAUGAAAUUCUACAAAAUUAAUUUCUUCUAAUAUUUUUACUUUUUGUGAUUAAGUUUAAAAUACUUUUCAAUUACUAAAUCUUAGUCCGAGCCAACCUAUUGGCUCGACUAACUAUUUAGAAAAUAUAAUAUGUUUAUAUUAAAAAUUUUAUAUUUAAAUAAAAAUUCAAGACGAGUUGUCUAGAAUUUGUGAAAAUGCUGUCCACGACCUAGCACAUAUUGGACAAUCCUAUUGAACUAGGUAGGUAGUGUGAGCUUGCCUUGAAAGUGCUAAUAAAUCCAAUUGAGUCAAGACUUAAGACUUCUUAUUCAACUUUAGACCCAAAUUGGGUAAUCAUAUUAGACGGAUAGUUUGAUACUUAAAUAUAUCUAAUCACAAUAUAUAUAAUUAAAUGAGCAAACAUAAAACCUUGGUUCUAAAACUCCAUGCUUCCUCUUUUGUUAACUUUAUGUUUAACUCUUCGGCCAACUUUUUCAAAUGUUGUAAGGUUCCCACUGUCAGUAUUAUACCAUUUUGAUCUCCACUAUUACAUUAUAAUCAUAUUAAAAAAAUAAAAAAAAUAGAAAAAAAUCAGUCAAAUGGCAUGAUAAUUUCUUUUCAAAAUUGUUCACUUUGAUUCUUCAUACAUAUUUAACUUAUUUCAAGAAAGUAUUGGAAAAAAUUAUGGCAUACAAAUAUAAUACUAACCUGAAUAUUGUAAUGGGAAUGGCUUGUUGAAGAAGGUUUUUAAGUGCAGGGAGCAUGUCAAGGUCCUUAUCAGCUUCGUUGUAUUUAAAAUUAGUUCUAAAAAAAUAAGAGUGAAAUAUAAUGAAAAUUUUAAGGCUAGCAAUUUUUACACGACAUUCACCUCAAUAAACAAGUAAUUUAUUUUAUUUUCUUAAGAAAUAGGUGACAAUAUAGAAAGAGAAAAAUUGACCGCGAGUUUUAAAACUUGAAUUUAAAAUAAUUUCUAAAAAGUAUUUAUAUGAAUAUAUUGGAAAAAAAGUUCAUCUUGUCUCAAAUUUUAGGGGAAAACUUACGUGAAAUAACCCUUCCAUCUAUAUGACAAGUUGGUUCGAAUCCCAUGGAAAGCUUUUUGAACUUCUGAAAGAAUAAAGUAAAAUUGCACUCUUAAUGGAAGACACAUGUCUACUUCUGUGCUAACUAUAAGAACCAAUACUAAAAAAUAAAGUUUUACGCUUUUGAUAUAACCAAUAAAAGAAAAAUAACACAAAAUCAAUUUUACUCAAUUGAUCAGUUAAUUCAAUUCUAUAGGAACUUAUGUUAUAUGUAGUUUCGAGUUGAAGUAAAAUAAGAGGAAUGUAAAGAACUAAAUGAAAACAUGUUUUCCCAAGUCCAAAUCUAGCUCAUUUUCAGCAUUAGGAGGGCGAAAGACAACAAAUAGCUUUUGUCAGGAGUAAUUAUGAGCAUUGGUCUUGAAAGUAGCCAAACCGGCCUCGAACUCAAGGUUUUUGCAUUUUGCGCUUCAAGUGGUUGCAGCAUCAAUGAGACACGACCUCCAAAUGUGCUGGAAAAGGAUGGCUCAAAAGCAAACAUUGCUUUUGGUUGGAAAGUGGUGUUGGUAGGUUAUGGAUGCCGGGUAGUGUUUGGAAUGGCCAUGGGAUGUGUUGUUUUCCAAACUGGUAAGGCAAAAAGGUUCGUGAAUUUGGUUGAAGACCAACAUGAGAAGAGGCGAAGAAGAAAGCCAAAAUAUAGCAAUAUCGCAUCAAUGGAUGAAGAAGGAUCUAGUUGGUUCAAAUGAAGUUAAAGCAUUUGUGCUGUGUCUGCAUAAUUUCUUGUUUAGUAGUCUGUCAGAAAGUUUUUCCUAUGGUGAAAAGUUGCAUUGGUAUGUGUCUGUUUUUAUGAUUGUACCAAUUCCUCUGUAUUUCAUUGCAUUUCGUACUAUUUGUAAGGAUUUAGUUCUAGUGUAACAUCUUGUAUGGUGCAACUAUGUAUGUCUUCUUUCUUGAAUUUCAAUUUUUAGUAAACAUUAUACUGCUCAACAUAAAAAAAAUACAUGUAGAAUUACAAAAGAUUCAAUUAUUCAAGUUCGAGUUGCAUUUAUAAACACGUGACGAUGAGAAUUCAUGAUGUGUUAUAAGCAAGAAGACUUUGUAAUCUCAUGAAUGUUAAUUAUUUUACUUCUUUGGUAAAAAAAAGUAAUCAAUCUUAUGAAUGAAAAAUAUAGGGUAAAGAGGAAGUAGUUGUUAACCUUUUCGAUUUAGUUGUUAACCUUUUCGAAAGUAAAUAUUUUAGUCACUCUCUUGUUAGUUGUUGUUAAAUGAGUGACCAAAAGCUGAUGUGGGCUUUUUUUAUUAGUCUAAUAACAAAUUUAGGCCUCCAAUGUUUACACAUUCUAUCAAUUUGAUCCUAGAUAUAAAAAAAAUCAACAAAUUUAGCCCUGAAUGUUAACAAAACUUGUGAUUUUAGUUCAAAUUCUAAAAAAUUUAAUAAAUUUAACCCUUAAUAUUUUCAAAAAUUAGCAAUUUAGUUCUAAUUCUAAAAAUUUUAAUAUAUAUAUAUUUUAAAAAAUAUUUUUAAUCCUCUGUCUCACCCUUUGAUUUUUUAGAUGAGCAAAAAUCAAAAUAUAUCAUUAUGUCUUUUUGUUUUAAAGCUAAAAGAGAUAAAAAAAAUGAAAAGCUAAAAUGACUUUUCGUUUGUAAAGUUAAAAAAUGCUAAAUAAAUCAUUAUGUCUUUUUAAUUUUAAUUUUUUACUUGAUUAAAAGAGAAAUAAUUAACGAAAGAAAAAUAAUUAUUCCCAAAUAAAUUUAUCAGGUUUUAGAUUUAAAUUAUGAGGCUAUAUAUAUAUAUAAGUAUACACAUUUUUAUGAAAUACAAGAUUUUGCUAAAAGAAAAAGCAUCCAAUUUUAAGAAUGAAAAAUAUAAAUCCUUUCAUUUUGAAUUGCAACUUUAUCCUGCCUAAAUUCCUCAACCAUGAACCACCCAUCAGGGCAGCCUCAAAAUGAACUUCCUUGGUCCGCCGGAUUCUGCGAUUGUUGCUCUGACCUGAAAACUUGUAACCCUUUCUUCUUUCUUCAAAAUCAGUUGUGUCAUUUUAAAUAUAUGAAUUAGUUUAUCAAUUAAAUAUAUGGACAUUUCAGGUUGCAUUUCAUACUGUUGCCCAUGCAUCACCUUUGGCCAGAUUGCUGAGAUUGUUGAUAAAGGGUCGACUUGUAAGUUAUUAAUUUCUAAAUUGAAAUCUUAUCAUCUUAGGUUUGCAGACAUAUAUAUAUUUAAAGAGAUAUUAUGUAAUUAAUAAUAAUGUUGAAAAACACUGUUGGAUGGUGCAGCAUGUGGGGCAAGUGGGGCAGUAUACACAUUAAUAAUGUUCAUCACCGGGUGUGGGUGCUUAUAUUCUUGCUGCUACCGAUCCAAACUGAGAAAGCAGUAUAACUUGAAAGGAGGCCAUUGUGGCGAUUGCAUGCGUCAUUUCUGCUGCGAGCCUUGUGCUUUGACACAAGAGUAUCGUGAGCUCCAGAACCGUGGAUUCGACAUGUCUAUCGGUAUGUCUACAUACCAAUAUUAUACCCCUUUUAAUUAUUCUUAAUAUAACUUCAAGUAUAUUAAUUGAGUAGCUGUAAACAAAUAUCUCCGAAUAAAUAUGUUAGUAAUGAUGAGAUAAAUUAUUGUUUGAGGUCAUUAAUUUUGUGGGGGUAUAUUUAUAUAUGCAGGUUGGCAUGCAAAUGUGGGAAGAACCCAGGGCUGGCAAUGGCUCCAGCGGUAGAAAAAGGCAUGAGCAAAUAGAUGAUGAUGAUGAUCGCUGCAUUAAUAUCGUCUUUAUAUGUAACACUUAAUUCCUUUGCUUUCCAUAAUUGGUGCCAAUUGGAUUUCAAGUUAUGUAUGUUUGUGAUUGUCAAAAUGUGACUCUGUUAAAUAGUAAAUAGCAUUUUUUAAAAGGGUUCAUAUAUAUCGUGAUACCUAAAGUUGGCAACUUCUACUUUGUAUCAAAAUCGGUACAUAAACUUGAAAAUUGUAAGUCAACUUGGUAUCGGUACAUAAACUUGAAAAUUGUAAGUCAACUUGGUAUUUUUAUAAGUAUGAUGAUGUUGGUGUAGUGUGAGGAAGAAGACUUGAAUGGGUUUGAUUAUUUUUAAUAAUACAGGAAUUUACGUAUUAUAAGUAAAUAGACACUCACAUUCUUUACGUAUUAUAAGGAAGAAGACUAAGUCAAUCUACUUUGUAAUCUCAUCAAUCUUAAUUUUCUCAAUUGUUCAGGGAGUUCAAAUGAAAUACAAAAUUUUGGUAAAAAAAUGUAUCCAAUUUUGUGAAUGAAAAAUAUAUGGUAAAAAAGAUUUGGUAUCAAUACUUCGGCGCGGGUAUCAAUACUCGAUACAUUGCUUUUGGUUGGAAAGUAGUGUUUGGAAUGGCCAUGGGAUGUGUUGUUUUCCAAACCGGUAAGGCGAAAAGGUUUGUGAAUUUGGUUGAAGACCAACAUGAGAAGAGGCGAAGAAGAAAACCAAAAUAUAGCAAUCGCAUCAAUGGAUGAAGAAGGAUCUAGUUGGUGCAAAUGAAGUUAAAGCCUUUCUGCUGUGUCUUCAUAAUUUCUUGUUUAGUAGUCUGUCAGAAAGUUUUUCCUAUGGUGAAAAGUUGCAUUGGUAUGUGUCUGUCUUUAUGAUUGUACCAAUUCCUCUGUAUUUCAUUGCAUUUUGUACUAUUUGUAAGGGUUUAGUUCGAGUGUAACAUCUUGUAUGGUGCAACUAUGUAUGUCUUCUUUCUUGAAUUUCAAUUUUUAGUAAACAUUAUACUGCUCACCAUAAAAAAAGAUACAUGAAGAAUUACAAAAUAUUCAAUUAUUCAAGUUCGAGUUGCAUUUAUAAACACGUGAUGAUGAUGAGAAUUCAUGAACAUAAGGUAUGGUUUGAGCCCUUUUGCCAUAUGCAUUUAUGUUGCAGGCGUUCAAACAUGGAAUAAUUCAACCUGCCUUUGUGUAUUCUUAAUUUUGUGCCAAACCUAUAUAUCUAUCGACAAAUUUAAGAAAAAUAUUUACAAUAGCAUUGCAGAGUAACAUAUUUAAGAUUGGAUUACACUGUCAAAAGAUUGCAGCAACGAUGAGAUUAAUCCAAUUACAGGAAUUGAUAUCCUAAAUGGCUUUUAGGUACGUAGCUUCAUUGACGGUACAAACGAGUUAAAAAUUCCAGCAUUCAUGUCUUUGUUUUCCCUCAAGUAAACGUAGUCAAUACUGCAAAUGGUGUGGAAGUAUUGUACAUUGUGGCCCAAAUGUCCAAAAUUUCCACAUUGCUUGUAAGUUAAGUUUGGAUGAGAGAGAUAGGAGGAAGCAACAGCAAGUGUGAAGUCAAUAGACAAUUGAUAGUCUUAGUGUUUGUCUUUUUUUGUCGAGUUAAAGUGUAGUCAAUAGACAAUUGAUAGUCUUAGCCCUUUUUGUGGAGUUAAAUUUAUAGUCAAUAGACAAUUCGAGUGGAACAUCUUGUAUGGUGCAACUAUGUAUGUCUUCUUUCUUGAAUUUCAAUUUUAGUAAACAUUAUACUGCUCACCAUAAAAAAAAUACAUGUAGAAUUACAAAAGAUUCAAUUAUUCAAGCUGUUUGAGUUGCAUUUAUAAACACGUGACGAUGAGAAUUCAUGAACAUAAGGUAUGGUUUGAGCCCUUUUGCCAUAUGCAUUUAUGUUGCAGAUGUUCAAACAUGGAAUAAUUCAACCUGCCAUAAGCAAGUGUGAAGUCAAUAGACAAUUGAUAGUCUUAGUCUUUGUCUUUUUUUGUCUGAGUUAAAGUGUAGUCAAUAGACAAUUGAUAGUCUUAGCCCUUUUUGUGGAGUUAAAUUUAUAGUCAAUAGACAAUUGGGACCAAACUUGACCUGUUAUAAGGAAGAAGACUUUGUAAUCUCACCAAUGUUAAUUAUUUUACUUCUUUGGUAAAAAAAAGUAAUUAAUUUUAUGAAUGAAAAAUAUACGGUAAAGAGGAAGUAGUUGUUGAUCACUAAUAACAUGAUGAUUGUGGAAAUACAAAAAAUCCCAUAUAUGUGUUGAAUUCUGCAUAAUGUAAAUGUCCCGCAUUGCAUGUGAAUUCUGCAAUAGACCAAACUUUAUGUGUUAUAGUCCUUUAAACUGAGUUAAUGAAAAGUAACCAUUCUUAUCAAAAUUAGUUAUACUCUUAAUUUAUAACAAAGAAAGGAGUAAUUUGAGUUUAACUCAAAGGUUAAUAUGUCAUCAAUGGGCGAUGGCGUGGUGCUACCAUGUCAGCCAUUAUUUUCUUCUUUGAGUUAAGGUGAUUUCACCAAUUUAAGUUUACUUUUUUACUUCAAUUUAGGUUUAUGCUUAUUACCUUCGAAGAUUCUAAGUGGGUGCCACAACCAAAGGGUGAGUAAAAAGGGUUAAAAAUAAUUUUUUUAAAAAUAUUUUUAUUUUUAUUAAAAAUUUAGAAUUAGAAUUAGAUAAAUUUUGUAAAUGUUAAGGGCUAACUUUAUUAAUUUUUUUUUCAUAAUUCGAACUAAAAUGACAAAUUUUGUAAAAAGCGCUAAAUUAGUUGAAUUUUUUAUAUUUAGGAUUAAAUUGAUAGAAUGUGUAAAUAUUAGAGGUUAAAAUUGUUAUUAGAUCAAUAAAAAACCCAUAUCAGCUUUCCGUCACUCAUCUAUCUACAACUAAAGGGAGAGCGAUUAAAAAAUUAGAAUGUUUGGAUCAUUUUUCUAAUUAAAGUCAUAGUGUAGGAGGCAAUUAAAUGCAUGCGCCACUCACGGUGGACGGUUUUGACAGCUGAUGACGUUGACAGUGCUCUUAAUCUGAGAAACGUGGAGGUACAUUUUCAAGUUUCAAAAAUUUUCUGUUUAUUGUAUUUUUUUAUUAUUCUUUUUCCUUUUUAGUUGAAAAUAGUGCUAAUUAAUGUUAUUUGUUUGACUAAUGUGAUAAUUUCUACUUCAUGUGUAUUAAUCCAUAAAUUUUAACAAGAGUGGAAUUUUGAGAACUUAGUUUUGGAAGUUUGAAUCUUAAGUUUAACCUGCUGCUUUAGAUUUUGCAUUUUGGUUAACUGGCUUGUGUUAUGUGUUUCUCUGGCAUCAGCCGAUAUGUGGAUUUGCCCCUCGUGAUGCACUACGAUUCAAGAAAGCUGCUGGGCAUAAGGAUUUGUUCUACAUUGAUGACAAAGAUGUGGAGUUUAAAGAAGUAGGAACUUAUCAACAAUAUUCGAGAUUCUGUUAUAUGUUGCCUUAUGUAUGUAGGUUCUUGAGUCACCUUUGCCAAGAGCACCACGUGAAUUUAUAUAAGUAUACACAUUUUUAUGAAAUACAAGAUCUUGCUAAAAGAAAAAGCAUAUAAAAGUAUAAACGUUUUUAUGAAAUACAAGAUUUUGCUAAAAGAAAAAGCAUCCAAUUUUAAGAAUGAAAAAUAUAUGGUAAAAGCAUCCAUAACUUUUCAAUGUAAAAGACAAAAAAGACUGUAACACCAAUGUUGUGGUAUUAUUUGUUGCCUAUAAAUACCAUUCCUAUCCUUCUUCUUCCUCUACAAACAUAACAUGGCCCCCUAUCUCUUUCUCUGCCUAUUCCUCUUCUUUCCCCAUCUUUAUGCUUCUUUUUCUUCUUCAGGAUCUCACUCCUGCUCUUCACUAAUCCAAUUUAAGGACUCUUUUUCCAUCACAGAGGAUGCUUCCUGGUAUUGCGAUGAGAUUGCUGGCCUUAAAUCUCAUCCCAAGACAGAUUCAUGGAAGGAGGGUACAGAUUGCUGCUCAUGGGAUGGGGUCACUUGUGACCACCUAAAUGCUCAUGUUAUUGCCCUUGACUUGAGCUGCAGUUGGCUAUCUGGCAACUUCCCUUCCAAUACCACUCUCUUCCUUCUUCCUCACCUUCAAAAACUCAACCUUGCCUACAAUCAUUUCAAUCAUUCCAAAAUUCCAUCCGAGUUCGGUCGGGUUUACAAGCCUAUUCUACCUCAACCUUUCUAAUACAUGGUUUGCAGGAGAAGUCCCAUCCCAAGUCUCGCACCUGUCAAAAUUGGUUUCACUUGAUCUCUCCUCUGAGUUUGGUGAACAAACAAUUGACAAACAUGCUCUGGAGGGACUUGUUCACAACCUAACCGAGGUCAGACAUCUGUUUUUGGAUGGAAUGGACAUGUCUUCUGUUAAUGCUCAUGUCUUCAUGAAUCUAUCCUCUUCUCUAAGGUCUCUCAGUCUUGCUUAUUGUGAUUUGCAAGGAAAAUUCCCAAAAAACAUUUUUGAUUUGCCAAACCUCAAUCUCCUCAACUUGAGAGGCAACCAAAACCUCAAUCUUGAUCCUUUGAAGUUCAAUCGGAGCAGCAAUCUUGAACAUUUGGAUCUGUCGUGGAUGUCCUCCUCUACAGAAUCCAUUGAUUCAGUUGAUAAUCUACAGGCCUUAAAGUACUUAGCUCUAUCAGGAAAUUCUUUCUUUCAACGAUUGUCUGUCUCAAUCACAAAAUUAUCUUAUUUGGAGUACUUGACACUUGAAGGCGCAAAUUUUUUUGGAGGAUUGCCUGACUCGAUGGGGAAUCUCGUGUCCUUGAAGUGUUUAGACUUGAGAUCAAACAAAUUGAGUGGACAAAUUCCAUUGUCAAUUCUAAACCUAACGCAGUUGGAAUACUUGGAUAUAUCUGAAAAUUCAUUAGAAGGUUCCAUUCCAGAUGAGGUAACCGCUUUUCCUAAUCUAAAACAUUUAGACUUAUCUGACAAUUUACUCAAUGGAACACUUCCGUCAUGGUUGUGUACUGUUCCCUCCUUAAAGAUAAUAUUUCUCUUUCAAAAUCAAUUCAGUGGGCAUAUCAAAGAAUUCCAAUCCAAAUCACUAGAAUUGAUAGUGUUACAGAAUAAUAAACUCCAAGGUCCUCUUCCAUCUUCAAUAUUCCAACUUCUCAAUCUUACAUCGCUUGCUUUAUCCUCAAAUAAUCUUAGUGGUGUCAUAGAGUUUAGCAUGUUCUCAAACCUUCCAAAUCUCGAAUAUCUUGACCUUUCAUAUAACAGCCUAUCCUUAACAUCUAAUACUACUUCUACUGUUAAUCAUAUAUUGCCUAAUCUUACAGACGUACUUUUGUCAUCUUGCAAUCUUAGUGAAUUCCCCCAAUUUUUGAAAGGGCUUAAAAGUUUGGAAAGGUUAGACCUCUCUUGCAACAAAAUUGAAGGCAAGAUUCCACAGUGGAUGCAAGAGGUGGGGAAUGUCUCUUUGACUUACUUCAACGUAUCUCACAACUCUUUGACAGAAGUUGAGCACUUUCCAUGGAAGAAUAUUGCAUUUCUUGACUUAAGCUCCAAUUUGGUCAGUGGAAAUCUUCCGAUUCCAGCUUC